rnacentral:RNase_P_RNA from 1 species
UGGGGCGGACGCAUGAUCGCUCCGGUCGUCAGGCCGGGGAGGAAAGUCCGAACACCACAGGGCGCGGUGGUUCGUAACGCGAACUCCGGGUAACCGGAGGAAAGUGCCACAGAAAACACACCGCCGAUGGCCCGCCGACUGCGGGCACAGGUAAGGUUGAAAUGGCGAGGUAAGAGCUCACCGCUUCCGUGGCGACACGGGAGGCAGGGUAAACCCCACCGGGUGCAAGACCAAAUAGGGAAACGCUUGAGGGCUGCCCGUCCGAUGUUUCCGGGUAGGUUGCGC